rnacentral:lncRNA from 1 species
GCGCCACAAGGAAAGCCGAGCAGGCAAUUGCUGCCCCGCCCACUCUGGGAAGAGGGGCGGGGCCGCCGGCUCCAGGGGGACGGAAGGGGCGGGACCGCCGGCUCCAGGGGGACGGAAGGGGCGGGGCCGUUGGAUCCUUGGGCAAUGGGGCGGGGCGGGCUUUCCCUCGGGGGGCGCAGCAGCUUCCUGUGCCGCCCUCACGCUCUGGGUCAGAGUUCCUUUACAGGCGGACCUGAGAGGCAACUUACCGACUCCUGCCCUGGACCCUCCUGCGCCACUGAACCCCCUGACCUGGGAGCCUCCGAACCUAGGUCUCAGGAGAUGAACCAGGACUUACCAGAAGGUACCAAGUGAACUUCUAGGAAAAGUCCAGUUCUCAGAUGCUGGAUGUCUUCCAAAAAGGAAGCAAAUUUGUAACUUAGUAGCUGAGUCAACUAACCCUGUUAGAUGGUCAACACUGAUUUGUUUAUUUUAUUUUAGUAUUUUUAAGUGGCAACUCUAGUGUGUGAGAAAAUGAAUGUGACAGCUGAAUUUGUAGAAAGCUGCUUUGACUCUCUUGGGCUCCUUCAUAAGCCCUGGAACUAAAUAAAAGUCUAGUGAAUACA